rnacentral:precursor_RNA from 1 species
UGAGAGAGAGAUAGAGAGUUGAACAAAUUCUUCAUAGCAACUAGAGGAAGGAUCCAAAGGGAUCGCAUUGAUCCUAAUUAAGGUGAAUUCUCCCCAUAUUUUCUUUAUAAUUGGCAAAUAAAUCACAAAAAUUUGCUUGGUUUUGGAUCAUGCUAUCUCUUUGGAUUCAUCCUUCGGUAGCUUCCUCUUCGAUCGUAUGGCAAAUUUCUCAACUAUCAUGGAUACUUCACCGGGAACUUUGCUGGCUUUAAGAUUCCGCAACCUUGUAUCUCAAGCCUACAACAGUAUACGAACUCUCUUCUUACAAUUUUCAUUUUUUAAAAGGUAAGUUUCAAAGAA